rnacentral:rRNA from 1 species
AUUGAACGCUGGCGGAAUGCUUUACACAUGCAAGUCGAACGGCAGCACGGGGGCAACCCUGGUGGCGAGUGGCGAACGGGUGAGUAAUACAUCGGAACGUGCCCAGUCGUGGGGGAUAACGUAGCGAAAGCUACGCUAAUACCGCAUACGAUCUCUGGAUGAAAGCGGGGGACCGCAAGGCCUCGCGCGAUUGGAGCGGCCGAUGGCAGAUUAGGUAGUUGGUGGGGAAAGGCUCACCAAGCCGACGAUCUGUAGCUGGUCUGAGAGGACGACCAGCCACACUGGGACUGAGACACGGCCCAGACUCCUACGGGAGGCAGCAGUGGGGAAUUUUGGACAAUGGGCGCAAGCCUGAUCCAGCCAUUCCGCGUGCAGGAUGAAGGCCC